rnacentral:lncRNA from 1 species
GCUCAGCGUCUGAACCUCUUCACGGCUAAGAGGAGCCUUUUCUUGCGUGGCGUUGUUUGGAAACAGAGUGAGGAAGCUGCCUCGCUCCAGGGGUGGCAGCCGCAGCCUCUGAUGUCCCAGGCAGUCACAGUGACACAGCCUUCCAACCAGGCCGCCCCCUGGCAUGACCAUGGCUGUGGGUGCAGCUGCCCACCUCCCCUGCUGCUGCCAUUUGCUCA